rnacentral:lncRNA from 1 species
GUCCCGGUGAGGCGGAUGUGCACUGCCCUGGGAUGGAUCUGAAUCUUCUUUUCCCUUUUUUUAGUGCAGGGGGUGUUGUGGGUGUGUGCAGACUUUGUGGCUUCUGCCCAGAGAAGCCAGAGUGGCUGAUUCCUGUGAACGGACCAAAGAAUCCUGUUUAAGUGCCUGUAACGAUAUAAACACAACUGUACUGUAAACCUGACCUAUAGGUAGAUAUAUAGAGAUAAUAUUUUUUUUGCAGGGGUUGACAUCCCGAGGGCUUCGAGGCGGGGAUGUCCUGCGUGGGGAAACGUUUGUGUUGUUCAAUAAAGUCUAGAGACUUGGAAUGUGUCUAGCCAGAUGGCUGCCUUCUUUAGGGGAUGCCGUGGGGGCUCUUUGCACCUAACACCAACUAACCCAGUUUCCCAUCGGUGCAGCUUUGCUCCCUGCCAAGCCGAUCCCAUGCAGGAAGCACCGGUGAUGCCACAGCAGCUCCGGGUGUCACUGUGGCUUUUCCUGCAGGGCAGCUUUGCUUCCGUGGGCCAUUUGCUCACCAGCAGCCUGCAAACUGCUUGGUGCUCUGCUCCGUGCAAAGCUGUCCCAAGGGCAGCUUCCACAUCCUCACCACCGCCGCCCAUUGGAGCCCCACGACACGUAGCAUGCUUCUCUCCACUUCUCCAGGCUGCUGACUCUCUCCCUACAGAAACAGAGGUGCACUAAACUGAGAUAUCCCCCCCCCACCCCCAUUGCAGAUGUGUUUCCCUACAGCUGACAGCUCAGCCUACGUUGAGAUUGCACUUUUGGGUUGUGGAGUGUGCGUGGUGGGACUCUUAUGAAUGGGUUGAAUCCGAAUUUUCUAGACCUUGCAGUGAUACUGUGCUGCUCCUGUGAGGGGGCUUCGGGAAGAUUCCAGUAGCUUGAAUGGCACUUGAUUUUUUUUGUUCUAAGUGUUUGUUUUUUUUUUUCCUACACCUGUAUCACCUGUCAUGCGAUGGGCUUGACAUAGACUCACUAGAUUCUUUAGAAUCUGUUUAAAAAUAAAUACAGUGUAUUCAAAUCUGUUGGGGUUUUUCAUUUGCUUUCUCUGUCAGGGCACGGUGGUGGUGCUGCUGCUGUCCUUAUUGGGAAGAACCAGAACGGAGGGGGGGUUUGGAGCAGCUGUGGGGUCCUGGUUCUCCCCCUGUCCCAAAGCCUGCGGGCACAGAGCUGGCAGCUUUCUGUUUGUAAUGCUGUCCCAUGGCUGUCCUCACUGGGGUCCCUGUUCCCGCUGGUCCCAUGGGUGUGCUGCUCUUUGGUUGCCAUCUGGGCUCUCUGCUGCUCCUGCCUUCCCACAGGUAGCAUCCCCUGCCCGUGGUCACCAACACCGCCUUGCUCCUCUGGUGUAGGGCUGUGUUUGGGGCAGCACUCCCCAGCAAGGUGCUUCCCAAUGGGAUGGGAGGGCUGGGAAGCUGGGGGGAGCCUUUGUCUAGC